CUUUCUAUCCUCAGAGGAAAACAGAAUUACGUGCAAAAUCAUUAAAUGGCCCUUCUCAUGGCACUUUGGAGUUCCAUUUUACCUCAUCCUACAGCAAAAAUGUCUUCUAAGUACUUUGCCUCUUGGAAUAGUGCUUUUUUCUGCAUUGGGGACAGCAGCCAGAAGACCAAAAGAGCAUUCUUUACGUGGAAUCCGCCUUGCCUUUACCUUGACAAAGGAAUGCAUUAAAGAUGCUUUUGGCUACUGCAUCACCUGGAGUGAAGGGAGAAGAAAAUCAGCUACCUGGUGUAUCUCUGCUAUUCCCCAGAAACUGUUCCAGUCUCGCCCUCCGUCUCCUCCUUCAAUCCCACUUCUGAGCAAAAAACUUCUCACGCACCAGGGUCUUUAACACCACGAGUAGGAUCCAUGACUUCCCAUUGCUUCUCCUAGGGUACCAAAGGGCGCCCCUGCCCUGAACCAAAAAAAGUCUUCAGUCACUUGUAGGUUACUUUCAAACUGGGACAAGUCGUUGUAUGUGGCUCAUGCAGACCGCGAAGAACUGAAGGAAGAGUGAAAUGUUGAAGAGCUGGAGGAAGAAUCACUGUACCCUGACUCGUGUGACACUGUGGAUGAGCUGGGGGAUGGUCCCCAAAGCUUAAUCAAGAAGGCCAUCGAGGGUGGCGACAGUCGGGCCCCAGCUGCCUGCCUGAUUGCCACCUCAGGAUGGAAGGGUGGGCGAGGUAGGGUGAGGAGCAGAUGGGGGCAGUGAACGAGAACAAGUCACAUAUGUCAGGUAUUGUGCAGAUAUUACAGCACCUUUAACUCAGGAGCUGACCUCACUCCAUAGAAGAUGCUAUGCUGUCAUACACAACAAACCAAUCAGUAACACAGAUGAAAGAGGUAAAGGCUUAGUAUAAAAAUAAAAUAGAGCAGGGGUCAGCAAACGUUUUCUGUGAAGGGUUGGUAAAUAUUUUAGGCGUUGAAGGCUAUGUCUCUGUCACAACCACUCAACUCUGCCCGGGUAGCACCAAAGCGGUCACAGACAAUACGUAAAUGAAUGGGCUGUGUUCUAGUAAAGUCUAUUUAAAAAAAAUAGGCAACAGACAGACUAUGACUACAAGGCACAGCUUCUCUACCCCUGAAACAGGAAAUCUGCACAUAAACAUUUUAAGUACUCUCCCCAAUUACGCCUCAAGUACCCUCGGGUUACAGGGUGGCUCACACAAAUUGUGUUCAUCCUGAGAAUAUAAGCGCUUUUUUUUUUUAAUUAAAAAAUUUUUUUAAAUAUAAUUUAUUGUCAGAUUGGUUUCCAUACAACACCCAGUGCUCAUCCCAACAAGUGCCCUCCUCAAGGCCCAUCACCCACUUUCCCCUCUCGCCCACACCCCAUCAACCCUGUUUGUUCUUUGUAUUUAAGAGUCUCUUAUGGUUUGCCUCCCUCCCUCUCUGUUUGUAACUUUAUUUUUCCCCUUCCCCUCCCCCAUGGUCUUCUGUUAAGUUUCUCAAGAUCCACAUAUCCGAGAAUAUAAGCACUUUGUGGGCAGAAGUUUUAUUAUGUUCAUAACUACAUGCCCAGCACCUAGACGUGUACCUGGCAUGCAGCUGGCACAAACAGCUGCUCACAACAAACAUUUGUUGAAUGACUAAAUUAAUGAAAUGAGCACAUGA